UGACCUCAGGUAAGCCCUGUGAGUGGGCAACACGUCUGUCCCCAUGUAAUCAUAGUGAGCAGGCGGCAUGUCUGUCGCAGGUAAGCCCUGUGAGCGGCACAUCUGUCCCCGGUAAUCAUAGUGAGUGUCCCCAGGUAAGCCCCAUGAGCAGGUGGCACAUGUGUCCCCAUGUAAUCAUAGCGAGCAGGUGGCAUGUUUGUCCCAGGUAAGCCCUGUGAAUAGGUGGCACAUCUGUCCCCAGGUAAGCCCCAUGAGCGGGCAGCACAUCUGUCCCCAGGUAAUCCUAGUGAGUUUCCCCAGGUAAGCCCCAUGAGCAGGUGCCACAUCUGUCCCCACAUAAUCAUGUGAGCGGGCAGCAUGUCUGUCCCAGGUAAGCCCUGUGAGCGGGCAACACAUCUGUCUCAGGCAAUCCCUGUGAGUGGGCAGCAUGUCUGUCCCCAGGUAAGCCCUGUGAGUGGGCAGUACCUCUGUCUCCUGGGCCUGGUGCCAGCCCACUGAUGAGCACAGAGGCCUCAGCCAGGAGUGAGGGAGCACACGCGUCACCCUCCAGUCUAACCUGAUGUUUGCAGCCCCAGCACCGGCACCAACAGCCCUCAAGAAAGAAUAGAAUUAGAUGUGGGAGAAGCAAGCUAUCGGGAAGUAAAUGAUCAUGGAUCCUGGUUUAUGAAAUACCACUCAUUCUUAUUGGAAAUGAGCUAUAUCCCUAACAAUUUUAAGAGCAAAUACCUUAUGUAAAUGUGGAUCAAAUGCUUCAGAAAGAGCUUCCAGAUUGAGCUUUAAUUGAAUUUAAACUAAAUAUAACAACUUUGCAAGACUGCUUCAAAGAAAGCCCUGAAAUUCAUUUUGAAGGCGGAAGUCACUCCGGCCUCGGCAGGACAGAAGUACAGGUGAAGGCAGCUGUUUACUUAUAUAAUUACUUGAUAUAGGUCAAACCCAAAAGUCUUUGGGGAUCACUGAAGGCAAUUCAGUCUGCAAACGUUCAUAUUCUUUGCUAUGGUUUGUUUCCCUGGAGACUCCAUUUUCUCCUGUUAUAAAUAACCCCAAUGUGUCUAGCCAGUCCAGGCAUCAGACCCUUUGAUACAGUUCUGAUUGUUUGGACAGGAAAACGGUGCCCGAGGAUCUCUCCCUGGCUGCUGUUGGCUGCUUGUUGAAGACCCACUCUAUGGCUGCUGGUGUGAAACAGUAAGGCAGGCCUGAUGGUCAGAGGGAGGAGGAGGGUGGCCAGAAGGAGGACAGUCUGAUGGCCAGGGGGAAGAGGGUGAUGGUCAGAGAGAGGAGGGUGAUGGUCACAGGGAGGAGAGUCUGAUGACCAAAAGGAAUAGGGUGAUAGUCAGAGGGAGGAGGAGGAUGGUCACAUGGAGGAGUGUCUGAUGGCCACGGGGAAGAGGGUAAUGUCAAAGGGAGAAGAGUGAUGAUCAGAGGGAGGAGCAUGAUGGCCAGAGGGGAAGGGUCUGAUAAUUAGAGGGAGGAAGGUCUGAGGGUCCAUGUGAAAUAGGUCUGAUGACCAGUGCUCAAAGUUCAUGAGUA